rnacentral:rRNA from 1 species
AAAUGAAUAGACGGGGGCCCGCACAAGCAGCGGAGCAUGUGGCUUAAUUCGAAGCAACGCGAAGAACCUUACCAGGGCUUGACAUGCGGGUGAAGCGGCGGAAACGCCGUGGCCGAGAGGAGCCCGCACAGGUGGUGCAUGGCUGUCGUCAGCUCGUGUCGUGAGAUGUUGGGUUAAGUCCCGCAACGAGCGCAACCCUCGUCGCAUGUUGCCAGCGGUCCGGCCGGGCACCCAUGCGAGACCGCCGGCGUCAAGCCGGAGGAAGGUGGGGACGACGUCAAGUCAUCAUGCCCCUUAUGUCCUGGGCUGCACACGUGCUACAAUGGCCGGCACAGCGGGCUGCCACCGCGCGAGCGGGAGCGAAUCCCCAAAGCCGGCCCCAGUUCGGAUUGGAGGCUGCAACCCGCCUCCAUGAAGUCGGAGUUGCUAGUAAUCGCGGAUCAGCACGCCGCGGUGAAUGCGUUCCCGGGCCUUGUACACACCGCCCGU